AGCUGAGGUUUGCCAGGAACUUCUUGCAGCCAGCAAGUGGAUGUGUGUAGCUUUUGUAUUAGUCUAGUUCCUGGGUGAAGUACUGUAUUGCCUGGCUGACUAGGAUCCGAGUACUUCUUGCUCUCAUAGUUCUUCAUACAUGUCUUAUUUAAAUGGGAAUCUGGCAAGUGAAGAAAUGCACAUGAUGGGGAAUAAGAAGAGCAGGUAGGAUGGACAAAAUGGCUAGGGAAUCUGGAAUAAAAAGCAACAUCCUCUGAGUUAAGUACAUACUAUUACAAAGCACACACUAUCAUAAAGCACAUAUUAUUAAAGAAAUAGAUAGUACAUCUGGUCAAAAUAAAACAGCUUUUUUUUUUUUCCACUCCCAUUGCCCAG
rnacentral:lncRNA from 1 species